AACGCUGGCGGCGUGCCUAAUACAUGCAAGUCGCACGAGAAAGUAAAGCUUGCUUUACGAGUAAAGUGGCGCACGGGUGAGUAAUGCAUAAGUAAUCUACCUUCGAAACUGGGACAACCUUCCGAAAGGGGGGCUAAUACCGGAUAAGACCACGAUAUACAUUAUAGUGGUAAAAGAUGACCUCUGCUUGCAAGUUAUCAUUUGAAGAUGAGCUUAUGUCCUAUCAGCUUGUUGGUGGGGUAAAGGCCUACCAAGGCUAUGACGGGUACCUGGUCUGAGAGGAUGACCAGGCACACUGGAACUGAGACACGGUCCAGACUCCUACGGGAGGCAGCAGUAGGGAAUUUUGCGCAAUGGGAGAAAUCCUGACGCAGCGACGCCGCGUGAGUGAUGAAGGCUUUCGGGCUGUAAAACUCUGUUUAGUGGGAAGAAGGGUUUAAGGCUAAUAUCCUUAAGCAUUGACGGUACCACUAGAGUAAGCACCGGCUAACUCCGUGCCAGCAGCCGCGGUAAUACGGAGGGUGCAAGCGUUGAUCGGAAUUACUGGGCGUAAAGCGAGAGCAGGUGGUUUAAUAAGUCAGAUGUGAAAUCUCUAGGCUUAACCUAGAAACUGCAUCUGAUACUAUUAAACUAGAGUGUAAGAGAGGGUGAUGGAAUUCCCAGUGUAGGGGUAAAAUCCGUAGAUAUUGGGAGGAACACCGGAGGCGAAGGCGAUCACCUGGCUUACAACUGACACUCAUCCUCGAGAGCAUGGGUAGCAAACAGGAUUAGAUACCCUGGUAGUCUAUGCUGUAAACGAUGGACACUAGAUGUUGUGGGAUUUGAUCCCUGCAGUAUCGUAGUUAACGCGUUAAGUGUCCCGCCUGGGGAAUACGGUCGCAAGAUUAAAACUCAAAGAAUUUGACGGGGGCCCGCACAAGCGGUGGAGCAUGUGGUUCAAUUUCGAGGCAACGCGAAAAAACCUUACCCUGGGCUUGAAAUUCCUGCUUUAAAUCAUAGAGAUAUGGUCUAGUCUUCCGAACAAGGCAGGGACCGGUGCUGCAUGGCUGUUGUCAGCUCGUGUCCGUGAGAUGUUGGGGUUAAGUCCUGCAACGAGCGCAACCCUUAUCAUUAGUUGCCAUCAUUAAGUUGGGUACUCUAAUGAGACUGCCGGUGUUAAACCGGAGGAAGUUGGGGAUGACGUCAA
rnacentral:rRNA from 1 species